CCUACGGGAGGCAGCAGUGGGGAAUAUUGCACAAUGGGGGAAACCCUGAUGCAGCGACGCCGCGUGAGUGAAGAAGUAUUUCGGUAUGUAAAGCUCUAUCAGCAGGGAAGAAAUAGCGACCUUUGGGUCGCCAGACGGUACCUGACGAAGAAGCCCCGGCUAACUACGUGCCAGCAGCCGCGGGAAUACGUAGGGGGCAAGAGUUAUCCGGAUUUACUGGGUGUAAAGGGAGCGUAGACGGCAGCACAAGUCUGAAGUGAAAUGCCGGGGCUUAACCCCGGAACUGCUUUGGAAAAUGUGCAGCUAGAGUGCAGGAGAGGUAAGUGGAAUUCCUAGUGUAGCGGUGAAAUGCGUAGAUAUUAGGAGGAACACCAGUGGCGAAGGCGGCUUACUGGACUGUAACUGACGUUGAGGCUCGAAAGCGUGGGGAGCAAACAGGAUUAGAUACCCUAGUAGUC
rnacentral:rRNA from 1 species